GCUCAGAAACAGCCAAGGCCACCCGACUGCCAGGAGCAUGUUCUCGUCCUCGGGGAAGUGAAACGCACACUGGCUCCCUCCUCUGCUCCCUGGAGCCAGCAGUCAGUGAGCCCCGUAGUCCAUGAUGAGUCACCGCAGCCCCUGGACCAGGGCCGCUGUGGAAGAGGUUGUGGGGGGACAUCGCAGAUAAUCAUUCUGGCCUCAUUGGAAUUUCAUCCUCUUUUUUAUCACACUGGCCAUGCAUGCUGGUACGGCAGGUAUUUCCUGGAAAACUUAGCAGAAUCAUGGGCCAGAGAUGGAAGAGGAGGAAGGAAGAGGGGGAAGGGAGCUGUAAAAGGAAAUAAGAGAACAAAUCUCACUGAAAUGAAAACAAGAAGAGCCUUCAAAUUCCACGUCACUGUUCUCUAGAUUUCUCUCAUGUCACUCCCUAAGCGCCUGUGUGCUCCUGUCUUGAAGACUGUAUGGUGUGUGUUCCUCUUAUCAUCACCUGCCGCGGAAGGUGAAGGCUUUAGUUUUGAAAAGGCACAUGGAGGGGGAAAUGAUGGUUAAAUGCAAAAGGAGUCAUGGCACAUACACACUAAAAUGCUGAACAUCGUAUGCUGGGUUUGGUGUUAUGAACACUGUCUCUUAAUCUGUUGGAGCCCAAUCUAGUAAUUCCACUUGGUUUUCCUCAACCAGACUUCUUCUUCAAACAAUGCCAGAGAAAGCAAAUAAACAGCUUUUAAACAGCUGAUUGUCAGGUGCAUUGAUGCAAUCUUCAGGUUUCAUGUCUUGAGGUCUGUAGACAUUUCUU
rnacentral:lncRNA from 1 species